UACCGCAUCCUACCUUGCAAGGUUCAGUUGGGGUUUUCAUUUGUUGGACCGUGACCGUGAAAGAUCUCUCUCGUGGUAUUCGAAGAAAAACGAAACACUAGUUACUUCGCUUCGUUUUGUACAAUGGCGCAAGAGCAACACUCAUCAACGCGACUAUCGAUGAUCGAUGCAGUACCUGUAUUUCUCGUUCUUCUAAUAGCAGCUCAUGUUCUCGGACUGGUAUUUUGGAUUUACAAAUUAGCAACUCAGAAACAGCCACUUCAGCGGCGAAAGGCUCACUAAAGAAGAAGGAAAAAGUUUGCAUCCUUGGAGAAAAGAAAUCUUGCUGCUGACUGCUUUGGGAAAUUGUCAAUGCUCUGAAAGUGGCUAGCUAUAAAAUAUUGUUCAUUUUCCUCCAGGUCUUGUGAGAUUGUUUGAAGUAGGAAUCUAUACUUAAAUUUAUAUUUGGUCAUUGCAUGUGUUACUUGUCAGUUGUCACUAGUUAUUUAUCAGUCAAUCUUCCUUUACAAAACUCAGACAGAAUUUGAGUCGAUGAAGUGCAUUAUUAGGGGUAAAAUUAAUAGUGCAAGUUGCUAUUCUGAUGCUUGUUAAUUUGUUGGUAUGCCUUGGGCUAUAUCAGUAUGUUUAAGAA